UGGUUUAGUUAUUUUUUUUUAUAAAAACCAAACCGAACCGAAAAUAAUCACCCCUAACUUUACCUACUAUUACUCCACUUAAAAAGUAGAAAUUUAUAGUUGUUAUACCAUUUUUAUUCCAAUAUAUUAUCUAUAAUUUUAAAAAUUACGUUACUUUUAAUUUAUACUCAUUCAUACAUCAAUCAACCAUCUUCCACCUCUUAUCAAAAAAAAAAUCAUCCUCCCAAAAUUGGCAAAGCAAAACCAAAAAAAA
rnacentral:lncRNA from 1 species